rnacentral:rRNA from 1 species
UUGAUGUUCGGAUUAUUGGGCGUAAGAGCUCGUAGGCGGUUUGUCGCGUCUGCCGUGAAAGUCCGGGGCUCAACUCCGGAUCUGCGGUGGGUACGGGCAGACUAGAGUGAUGUAGGGGAGACUGGAAUUCCUGGUGUAGCGGUGAAAUGCGCAGAUAUCAGGAGGAACACCGAUGGCGAAGGCAGGUCUCUGGGCAUUAACUGACGCUGAGGAGCGAAAGCAUGGGGAGCGAACAGGAUUAGAUACCCUGGUAGUCCAUGCCGUAAACGUUGGGCACUAGGUGUGGGGGACAUUCCACGUUUUCCGCGCCGUAGCUAACGCAUUAAGUGCCCCGCCUGGGGAGUACGGCCGCAAGGCUAAAACUCAAAGGAAUUGACGGGGGCCCGCACAAGCGGCGGAGCAUGCGGAUUAAUUCGAUGCAACGCGAAGAACCUUACCAAGGCUUGACAUGAACCGGUAAGACCUGGAAACAGGUCCCCCCACUUGUGGCCGGUUUACAGGUGGUGCAUGGUUGUCGUCAGCUCGUGUCGUGAGAUGUUGGGUUAAGUCCCGCAACGAGCGCAACCCUCGUUCCAUGUUGCCAGCGCGUUAUGGCGGGGACUCAUGGGAGACUGCCGGGGUCAACUCGGAGGAAGGUGGGGACGACGUCAAAUCAUCAUGCCCCUUAUGUCUUGGGCUUCACGCAUGCUACAAUGGCCGGUACAAAGGGUUGCGAUACUGUGAGGUGGAGCUAAUCCCAAAAAGCCGGUCUCAGUUCGGAUUGGGGUCUGCAACUCGACCCCAUGAAGUCGGAGUCGCUAGUAAUCGCAGAUCAGCAACGCUGCGGUGAAUACGUUCCCGGGCCUUGUACACACCGCCCGUCAAGUCACGAAAGUUGGUAACACCCGAAGCCGGUGGCCUAACCCCUUGUGGGAGGGAGCUGUCGAAGUGGGACUGGCGAUUGGGACUAAGUCGUAACAAGGUAACC